CCAGAGCUCAGGGGUAGAGCAUGUGCUUUGUGUGCAGAAGGUCCCAGGUUCAAUCCCCGCUGGAUGGG